rnacentral:rRNA from 1 species
CAAUCGCCAAAUACGAGUCCCUAAAAAGCCAAACCGGUUCAUCUUGUGUCGAACCUUCUCGCCUUCUUCCCCACCCUAACCCUUUCUCGCCGCCGCCGCCGCCGCCGCCGCCGACCCUCUUCCGCUGUUACCAACCUCUGCCGCCUGCCGAGAUGGAUGACAGUUGCGCGGUGUGCGCGGACGCGCUCGAAUGGGUGGCUUACGGGCCGUGCGGGCACCGCGAAGUGUGUUCAACCUGCGUCGUCCGCCUUCGCUUCGUACUCGAGGAUUCUCUAUGCUGCAUCUGUAAGACGGAUUGCCCCUCCGUCUUCGUCACAAAGGCCAUGGGAGAUUACACAAAAGUGAUCUUGGAUUUCUCUGUUUUGCCCACUGAGGCAAAUGAGGGAAAUGUGGGGGAGUACUGGUACCAUGAGGAUACAAAGGCAUACUUUGAUGAUGCUGAUCAUUAUAAGAUGAUAAGGGCGAUGUGCCGACUUUCUUGUAGUGUAUGUGACAAAGCUGAGGACCAGGUUGGUCAGGCAGCACAAGCAAAGCGCCGAAGCAGGUUCAAGAGCAUUGAUCAGCUAAAGGGACAUUUGUUCCAUCAGCAUAGGUUAUACAUGUGUAAUCUUUGCUUGGAGGGGAGAAAGGUAUUCAUUUGUGAACAGAAGCUUUAUACAAGGGCACAGUUAGCUCAGCAUACAAAAACUGGUGACUCUGAGGUGGAUGGCUCUGAGAUUGAACGCAGUGGUUUUGCAGGACACCCAGUGUGUGAAUUUUGUAAAUAUCCAUUAUAUGGAGAUAAUGAGCUUUACACACAUAUGUCCAGAGAACACUAUUCGUGCCACAUAUGUCAAAGGCAGCAUCCUGGGCAGUAUGAUUAUUUCCGGAACUAUGAUGAUUUAGAGAUGCAUUUUCGUAAAGAUCAUUUCCUCUGUGAAGAUGAUGCAUGUUUGGCCAAGAAAUUUGUUGUCUUCCAGAGUGACGCAGAGAUCAAGAGACAUAAUGCUAUGGAGCAUGGUGGGCGGAUGUCUCGUGCCCAGAGGAAUGCGGCACUUCAGAUACCUACCAGUUUUAUAUACCAAAGGAAUGAGCAAGAUCAAAGGCGUGGCAGAGGUAGGGGCCAUAAUGCUCACCAUGACAGAUUUGACAGGGAUUUCUCAUUAUCUGUGCGGGAUGGCAGUGCAACUGCAGACCAUGGCCUUGGAAGUCGAGUUGAUAGUGUUGCAGGGCCUUUCCAGUCAUUAAGUGUCAGUUCCAGUUCUGGUCGAAGUCGAACAGAAAUUGGUCGAAGCUUAGGGAAUCGUCGCGUGCUCGAGCAGUUGUCUUUUCCUCCACUUCAAGACCAGGAUAUUCCUGAUGCUAGGAUUGAUGCUGUUCCCUAUGAAACCUUGUUUCCUCCCGUCUCAGAGCAGCAAUCAAGGUAUGCGCUGGCUCUUAAUCAGAGCUCAAGGGGUUCUGCGAGGCUUGGUGAUGAAUCAUUAUUCCCUCCAUUGCCUGGGUCAAGUAACAAGGGUUCUGCUUCAACACAACAGGGGCUGCAAAGUCUUGCUAAGAACACACUUGCAUCAAGGCUGCAACAACGUAGUAAGGGCUCCGUGAAGGUACUAUAUUCUGCUCAGUCUCAAACAGGUGAAAAUCCUGAGAUAGUACCUCAUGUUUCCACUUCCACCCAGACAUGGCCUACACCUGACCAGGGGCUACAUCUCUCUGGUUCUUCUCAACUUCGGAUUGUAACUCAAUCAACAAGAGAUAAUGGGCUCAUGCCAUCUGCCUCCAGCGGUUCAGCAUGGAAUUCCAGAGCUUCAAACAAGAUGAAGCACUCUAUUUCGACCCCUAAUUUUGUUUCUGGUGGGUCCUCUGCCCAGGCAUCAUCAAGUACAGCUUAUGGCAAUAAAAAGCAACUGCCACCACAAAGCAGCCAACCUUUGCCUGUUGUGGAGGAUGUUCGACAAGCAAACAAAUCCCUUGUGGAAAGAAUGCGUGUUGCAUUAGGAAUGGAUGAGGAUAGGUUCUCCGCGUUCAAAGAAAUUGCAAGUGAAUACCGUCAAGGCGUCAUUGAUACUUCAGAGUAUCUCUCGUAUGUGGAGCAGUUUGGUAUAUCACAUCUUGUUCCUGAAAUGGCUAAGUUGUUGCCUGAUCCUCUGAAGCAGAUGGAACUUGCUGAUGCCUAUUACACCAACAUGCGUUUUAAAAGUCUCCAAGAAAAUGGCGGUUGUGAAACCAUUACUGUGAAAGAGAACAAGCGUAAAAAUAAGGGCAAGGGAAAAACACUUGAUGCAGAAACAGCUACUGCUAAGGAUGCAAGUGAAUCGCUAGCUGAUAGCUUUAUGGACACUGUAAGAAAGCUUCAGUCGAACAACAAGGCUCAAGAAGGAGAGGCUGCAGUGCUUUCGAAGGAUGGGUAUCGAUCUUCCAAGGAAAAAAUCCCACUAUCAGCUGGAGGGUCAUCCUGUGGUACAAAGAUGUGUCUAGACGGUGAUCCAGUUGCCAUUUCAAAGGCGUCUGGCACUAGUAGGUAUGUGGGCAAGGGUGGAGGAAGCACCGGUAGCAGCAGCAGCAGCAGCAGUAACAACAAACAAUCGAAGAAGACGUCAAAGUUUCUCAGAGCCCGGUUGGGUGACAACUCAUUGGCUACACUUGAUUUUAGUCAUCCUGAUGUGAGCCCUGAACGACCUGAAAGGGAGACACAAGUCCUGCAAACUGGGUUGCCUGUGCGAAGUGUUUGGAAGAAUGGUGCAGCACAGAAGCUCUUCUCCAGCAAUGGAAAGAAAUAGCAUCAUUUUGUGCAGACGUAAUUUGAUCCAUUGAGCUGGUUGGCAGGAAAUGUGCACAUUUUGUGAUGUGUGUUUUGGCUGCUUGGAGAAGGCGCCGUCUAUUUAGAAGGUCGCUUCGUUUGAGUGAAUUUGCUGGUUGAAAACCUCAAAAGUGAGGAUGGAACUUGAAUAGCUUGGCUAGCUAUACCUUUGUCAAAGUGUAGACUGUAUAUUACAUGAAUUCUACUCCCUCCGUUCCUAAAUGUAAGUCUUUGUAGAGAUUUCAUUGGAUGGACUACAUACGGAGCAAAAUGAAUGAAUCCACACUUAAAAUGCAUCUAUAUACAUCCGUAUAUAGUUCAUAGUAGAAUCUCUACAAAGACUUACAUUUAGGAACGGAGAGAGUACCAAUGAUUUUGUGGCUUGCAUGACUUCGAUUUCGACCAGGCUGCAUGACUUCUGUUGCCAGCCUCUUAUAUUUACUGUGUGGCAAGACAACUGUCAAUAAGAGCAUCUCCAACACAUGAUGUAAAACGGUCGCCCUGCUGUGCCCAAAAAACUGCCAUUUGGGGCAUUUGGAGAAAAAAACAUUGUUCCAACAGAUGUAUCUUUGUUACAGAACUGCCAUUUAAGGAAUUUGGAGGCAAAACAUUGUUCCAAC